CAUCUUUAUACUAGAGCACGGCUGCAGGGAGAGCAGGGUCUCAUGAGAGCACACCUGGGUUUUUUCACACCGUGCACGGCUUGCCUCUAAAAUUCCCUCACGCUGGACCCAAGAUAUGCUCUGCAUGUGACCUAAAUGUGUGCCGAAGCAGUCACUGGGCUGGAGAAAGGGGGGGCGGUUUGUAAACAGGCCGCCGUCCCCCACGGAGAAACCACCCCUUUCACACCAAAGCAAAGGGUGAACAAUCCCGAGGACCGGCCGCACUCUGGGGCGACUAGCCGACCCUUUUGUUCUCCCACUGAGCGCAGAUGCCAGUGUCAGGGGACACAGGGGAAGAAAACUUAUAAAGUACUCGCUGCAUGACUGCUGGAGAUUCUCAUUCUGUGUGGCAUGUGUAUUCUUUUCACCAAGGAAUAUUGGUUUUCAGGGGUUCAGCCCUCCAGCGAGCGGGAGCUGAAGCAGGCGAAAGGAGGAAAGCCUCUUCUCCAGACACAGGAGGCUGCCCACAUCUACAGUCUCUGCCAGCCCGCUGCCAUCCCAACGUGCGGAGGGAAGGAACCAGAUAAGCAGUCAGCAUUCAGUGCAUUCUCUGGGCAGGGCGCUCCGGUCCUGCCCUCGUCCCACGUGAGCACAGCACCUGUCAGCGGCCACACACUGGCCGUGGCUUCCCAAAGCUAGCAGGCCUCGGAGGCAGCCCCCGAGUUGCAGUGGCGCUCUCCCCCACUGUGUCCCUCUCUGCACCCAGCCCUCCGCCUGCCCGGGAAGGGGCCAAGGGCAGACCCCUACCGAGGACCCUCCCUUGCCUGGAGACGCCUGUCCUGCCACUGGUGCCUGUGACUGCCCCCACCCCUCAGGCACAUGGGCAGCCAGCCAACGCAGGCCACCUCUGUUCCUACCUGUCCUCUUCUCUGGCCAAGGCAGAGAGUGCUCCAGCAGGGACUUGAGGACCUCAGGCAUGUCCAUGGCAGGGGCCACUCCAAUCCGGUCACAGCUCGACAUGGCCCGGCAGGAGGUGCUUGCUCCGGGAGUUCAGAAGCAGCUAGAGAGACAGGAGCGGGCCCGGGAGCCGCAGGCUCUGGAGGCGGGCGGGGCGGGAGCCUGAGGCAGCCAAUGGGCAGUAGGGGCCCCGGCCCACCCGUCCGCCCCCAGCUCGGCCACCCGCCAGCUCCGGCUGCAGCCAGGCCUUCCCUUCCCGCUGCCUGGCAGGGCGGGCCUGGCUCUGCGCCAGCCGCAGCACGUGGAGCCGCCGCGCCAAUCCUCUGACAGAGAGCCCGGGCUGUUAUCUAACUUUGCAAAGGGAAGUUCUCCCCCAGGCUGGGAGCCAUAACCGGGGCCUGCCAGGUGAGAACAGGGAGAUGUCUCCACGCCCACAGCAAGUGUGCCCUGCACACUCAGGCACUCUCAGCCGAGGGGCCCCGGUGGCCAAGUGCAGCAGAGGGCAGGGCCGGCCAUGGAGAUCAGUUUGGGCUGGAACCUGAGACCCUGGCACCCCAGGCAGCUCAGGACAGAGGACAUACUCUGUGUUGGCACACACUAGCACGGGAAGGGGCAUCACACGUUCACCUGCAAGCUCGUGAGCCCAGAGAGGUUUGUUGGCAUGUUUUGAGGCAGGUAUCCGCAUGCUCCGCACAUGUGUCCUGCAAGGCACACAGGUUUGCAUGUGGUGUGUGCAAUUGCGGCUUUGCCAUCUGCAGAGCCUGAAGUCUGCGCUCCUACAAGAAGUGAGAAUAUCUGCAGCCUGGGAUUCCUUUGGUCUUCCGGGGAAGGGAAAGAGGCAGGUGCCCAGCAGACAAGCCCUGGGAGGGCAGGCAGAGCAGGCACCAUUGAAAGGGAGCAAGCUCUGCCAACCUGGUGGAGGCUGGUCUCGGGUGACGUCCUUCUGCCCAGCCCAUCCUGGGGACUUGCGUGGCAACUGGCUGUUUGUUGUAGCCCCCGCUCUCUGGCCCUCUCACCAGGACAUUGGCCUCUGUGGUCCCCAGGCCACUUGAAUGUGUGGUCAAAGCUAAGAUUUUGUAUGUCUCCCUCCAUUGAAGACUGACAUCAAACUCGGCCGGCGGGGUGGGGGUGGGGGUGGGAGGGAUGGUGUCAGGCCGCACACGGACAUGGGAUCUUGAACAAGUUGCAUAGCCCUUCUGGGUCUCAGUUCCAAAACUACUCAGUGUUGUGACCUCUAAAGUUCCUCUCAGUUCUGGUCUAUGUCUCUGACGAUCCAAGUAGAUGCAAUAAGCAUUUGGUUCCCUGCGCAUAGAUGAUUUCUAUGCAGUUCUUCACUGUUUUCCAAAAAUAUUUUGUACAGAAGCAAAAAUACUCCAGGAACCCCCCUGGCCUCUCCAACAGCCCUCAGCCUGUCCUCUACAUACCCUCCCCUCCUCCCUAACAGCCUUCCCCAAACUAUGCUCUUUUCCCAAAUUAAUUAAAAGUUAAUUUCAAGUUUUGAAUACAAAGAACAUUAUAUGGCCAAAGCUCAACACUUUUGAUAAAGGUAUACUUUAGAAAUAUAAUGUCAGGGGUGCCUGGGUGGCUCAGUCGGUUGGGCCCCUGGCUUCAGCUCAGGUCAUGAUCUCACAGUUCAUGAGUUCGAGCCCUGCAUCGGGCUCUCUACUGUCCGCUCAGAGCCUGCUUCUUUGGGUCCUCUGUCCCUGUCUCUCUCUGCCCCUCCCCCACUCCCAAGCUCUCUCAAAAAUACAUAAACAUUACAUGCACAUAUGUAAUUUCUAUCCCUGUCCUUCCUCCCCAUUCCUCUACCUCAUAACAAAUUUAGUUUCUUAUUUAUCCUUCUAGUGCCCUGUGCUUCUGAGACCCUGGGCAGUGAGGGUGAGGUGGGCCUCGCAUUCAGGUUGCCUCAAGUUGACCUGGGAUUUGCAGGCUGGAGCUGACUGAACCGCUCCCUGGCCUAAGAACUCUCUGGUGUGCUAGACUGGCUUACCACAAAGGUGCAGUGGGUAGGUGCCCACAGAGCAUGAUUCCAGAGGCAACAGGAAACUCCCUGUGUCGCAAAAAUACCCACCUGAUAAGUGACAUUCCGUCCUCGGACAUUUGUCCCUAUGAACUCUCUGCAGAACCCUUCCAAUGUACAGAUGUGCUAAGCAUCUAAGACCAUAAGUGAGUACUUGCUGCAUACCUGGCACCAGCCAAGACUUUGUGAGAGAUUCAAAGUUAAGUCAGAAACCCGGCCGGGCAGGUCCCUGCCCUUAGGGAAUUUUCAUGCCACUGCAAGUCAGUCCAGGUGGCACCCCUACUCCAGGGGGCCCAGUUGGCAGUGUCACCUGUGCUCUCACAGAGGCCACAUCAGCAGGUUGCUGGGUCAAGAGGCUGGAGAGGGUAGAGAUGGGGAAAGGGGAGGCCGCAUAGAAACCCGGAGACAUUUGGAAGGGGCCGCAUGGCAGGCGUGUUGGGAUUGUCUGCACUUCUUGGGUUUCCUGGCUCAGAGGUCUGAUGCCUACUAGAGAUGGCUCCCCGGGGAGGGGGUAUAUGUGGAUGCAGUUUCUGGCAAAGCCCUCAAGGGCUUUCUCUAGAGAGGUGCAGAGCCCCUUCACCAUCUGCAGGUCCCUGACAGUCACCCCACCUGCCCAGGGCCUCCCUCAGAAGCAGCUUCCUCAGAGGCAGGGAGAAGCCUGCUGGGGCUCCAUGGUGGUGGUGGUGGUGCUCACUCUGACCCUUACUCACAGGAGGGGAGACCAGAAACAGAUGUGUGUUCAAUAACUGGGGGCUGCUCAAGUCAGCACCGGUCCCUUGAUGAAUAAAGUGUCGGCCACUGAUCAUAAUACCUAAGUUAUAUCAGGGCUUGGAGACACGCAUGAAAUACAAUUGAGAGAAAAAGAAAGAUGCGGGACAACGAGUGCGCAUUGACAACCAUGGGACAGCAAUCUUUUGAAGCCUCUAUCCCAGUUUCACCUCCUCCAGGAAGCCCCCCCUAGAUCUGGCACCUGCAAUGCCUCCCACCGCAGUGCCUGUCAAACCAUCCUGCCCUCUCCCAUGUAGGUCUGUAUCCGCUGGCAGACUUGGGUUCAAGGGAAGCCACAUUUCUUCAGUAACCUUGUUCCCAGGAUCUGAGAGUGGGUGCUCAGUGAAUGUUUACCAACUUGAGCUAAAGGAGGCCCAGAAGAGAAUUUAGGGGAAUGUAGAGAAUUCAAGAGUUUAGUCCACCAGGCACAUUGAAGUCCUGCUUAUCUUACGGUCUUUGAUUUUCUGAAUUCAUGGGAGGUCUGGAUGCAGGUUCAUGAUCUCUCCAGCUUGAGGAUGGGUCUGGAGGUUUCCUUUGGGGGCCUGUACUUUGCCAUGCCACUUUGGUUUUUCACGGUGAUACCAGGGGUGCUGAGAACCCCAGACCGUCAGCGCUGAAGGGACCUUUGCCAAUCACCCAGUUCCCAGUGUUUCUUGUUUUACUGUCUCCUGAGGGUCCUUGGAACCUUUGCUGAAUGUCUCUAAGAUGUGGACACCAAAUGUGCAGCGUUGUCAUGGGGAACAGACAUGCUGCAUCCAGUGUCUGGUGUACAGGUGCUCAAUCAAGCUGCUGGUUUCUCUUGCUCAUCCGGUCAUUUAUCAAGCACCUGAGCCCCUAUGCACCUUUGGCCCCCUGUUCCUGGUGUCACUCCACACUGCAGUUGACAGCUAUCUGGUGAGAGCUUGCUCUUGAACAUAUGUGGCCCCUCCCAUCAGGGUCCCCCUCCAUCCCUUGCAACACACACAACCCAAGAGAUUUGAGAAAGUACCUCCCAUCCCAGAAGAUAUGGACUUCCCCGAAUUGAGAAUUCCCAAUCUAAUAUACUCUCUCCUUUUAAAGAUGAGAAAUCUGGGUCCCGAGGAGUCCAGGCUACAGUCAGAAUCAUAUUCCAAAGCAAUGGCAUGGCAUGCCUCCUCGCUAUUCUGGAAAAGCCACACCCAGAAAGGGCACAGAGCCGACCCUCCGGAAUUCAGGACAGUGUCCUUGAUAAAGGCAGGGAGGUGUGGGUACCUCAGGACCCCCAUGCGGAAGGCUGUGAGCAGGCAGGCUGCAGGAGAGCCAGUGAAGGGUGGCUGCUGGGGCCUCUUGUACACAGCACAGCUUGUCCUUGCCAGCCGAGGCGCUGCCUGAGCUGGGGUCAGCUGGGUGGCCCUGUUUACACAGGGACACAGACCUUCUGCCCCUCACCCCUCGGAAUUUCUGCCUUUAGGCAUGCCCAGCACCAGGCAGCUCUGCUCCAAGUGGACAGAGCAGCCCAGGCCCCUGGGCACAAGCUCCAGGCAGGGAGGAACAGGAGCGACAGAGGUCGAGGACAGAGGUCAAAGUACACACGUUUAUUUUCUAGAACAAAGGCUAAAAGAAUCAAGUUUCUUUCAUUUUAUUUUAAGAAGGACAAAAAUUGUUAUUAAAACAUCUACAUUAUUAUCAAGAUACUAGACCUUAUGAAUAUUUAAUAUUAAAGUGUGGUAUUCUUAAAUUUUUAAUACACAGACAUUUUAAAAGGACCAUUAAAUUGAUUACUGCCCAGCUGAGAAAUGCAGCGUCCCUCCUUCGCCCUACUCCAAAGGGAUACUCACAUUGGGGGCGCCUGCCCCCCCCCCCCC